rnacentral:rRNA from 1 species
GACGUAGGGCGCGAGCGUUGUCCGGAUUUAUUGGGCGUAAAGAGCUCGUAGGCGGCUUGUCGCGUCGACUGUGAAAUCCCGCGGCUCAACCGCGGGUCUGCAGUCGAUACGGGCAGGCUAGAGUUCGGUAGGGGAGACUGGAAUUCCUGGUGUAGCGGUGAAAAUGCGCAGAUAUCAGGAGGAACACCGAUGGCGAAGGCAGGUCUCUGGGCCGAUACUGACGUGAGGAGCGAAAGCGUGGGGAGCGAACAGG